ensembl:lncRNA
CUGGUGAUUGGGGUGACUAAGCUCGUUAAAUUACAAUAAAGCCUCGUGCAGUUUGCAGCAAGCUCUCGAAUCCGCCUGGUGAUUGGGGUGACCGCGAACCUGGCCUGAGACCCCGGAUACUUGAGUUUUCGGGGGUCUAACAUUUUGGGGGCUCGUCCGGGAUUUGCGACCACCCUUCACCUGAGUGGAUUCGAUCUUGGAGGUAAGAUGAUUCGAGCUCGAAACUUAUAUAUGUUCAAUGUUCAAUGUUUGCUUGUUUUGUCUCUUGCUGUUUUGUUUGGUGCCAUGAUUUGUAUUUGAUCUGCGCAGAAUUUGUAUUUGUAAUUCGGACUUCUGGGGAAGACCCUGAAGUCCUGCCCUGGAUGAAAGUCCGAGGGUUGCUUGAUUUGAUCUGCGCAGAAUUUGUAAUUUGUAUUUGAUCUGCGCAGAAUUUGUAUUUGUAAUUCGGACUUCUGGGGAAGACCCUGAAGUCCUGCCCUGGAUGAAAGUCCGAGGGUUGCUUGAUUUGAUCUGCGCAGAAUUUGUAAUUUGUAUUUGAUCUGCGCAGAAUUUGUAAUUGAACCAUAGGGUAAGCAGACUUGCGAGAACCUUGGUUCCACCCUGGAUGAAAGUCCAAGGUUUGGUUGUAAUUUUGGUUUGGGGCACCAUUUCUUUGCCGCGGUUUGUCCUGUUUAAUGUCUGUCCUGUCUAAUGUCUCCAUGUCUCAUAUUUGUGGCAUGCAUGGGUCAGGGGUCUUUUCUUGUUGCCCUAAGCACAUGGCACGGGAAAGGAGUUCUGCCAUGUGUCACGGGUUAGAAUGUGUUAUGUUGGAGUCCCCCGAUGCUGCUUUUCUGAACUCGAACCACUGCUGCAGCCCUUACAGCUGAGCCUGGCCCAUGUAGGUUUCUGCUUCUGGCUGACAUCUGAGUAUCAGUUGCUGACUACAGGCUGUUCUAAGUAGACUGCGAGCCCUGGACUUGCUGUGGAUGUAAACCAGUCCAGCUGAUGUGGACACCCCCUGUCUCUGCAACAGUGUCUUCUAACCAGAAGCCCCUGAUGAAUUCCCCAUUGCCUAAAUUCCUUUUUGCUUUUGACUAGCAUUUCAACCUUCUGGGGUCCCUAACUUCGUCCCAAAGUCAGCAGGAAGCAGUUUGGAAAAGAAUUUCGCCGUCCAUUUUCCCUGGUUAAAAUGCUAAGUCAAAGGGAACUCCCUUGCAUGGGGAUGCCAGUAUCUAUCACUCCCUGAUGGGGAUGCUAGAGAGACAGCAAUUCCAUGAUUGGAAUUUACAAAAAAGAAAAUGGGGGAAUGAAGGAACCGGCUUCCCUUUUGGCAGCCAUUACAGCCGAACACGUGCUUGCCAUAAACCUGCCUUGGUCACGUAGAGGUCAGAUGCCUGUCUUGUGACAAGGAACCAAUCGGAAGUUAGCUGGUGGCGCUAUGCUUUACGACCCUGGGUGUGCUUUACGGACAAGCGCACAGCAAUGACGUAGAGAGCAUAGCAACCACCCUGGGAGGGCCUAUGAGCCAUAACAACCAGUUGACCAAUCAACACAGGGCAAGCCCUCCAAGCCUGGAAGCACACCAAUCCUGAGCCUGUGCGUACCCCUAGACACUCCCCUUACGCUGCCCUAUAAGAUCUUU